rnacentral:rRNA from 1 species
GAUGAACGCUGGCGGCGUGCCUUAUACAUGCAAGUCGAGUGGGUUUAGACUGACGGCGUGCGGGUCUGGAACGCGUAGGUGCUUUCCUUGUCGCAGGUAUAACGCUCUGAAAGGUGGGAUAAUUCCUGAUGUGAUCGCAAGAUACAAGAUUAGCCGCAAUGAUUAACGGACAAGAUGAGGCCUGCGGCCUAUCAGCUAGUUGGCGCGGUAAAUGCCCACCAAGGCUAUGACGGGUGGCUGGUCAUAUGAGGAUGACCAGUCACAUGGGGACUGAGACACGGGCCCAAUUCCUACGGGAGGCGGCAGUAGGGAAGUUUGCGCGAUGGGCGAAAGCCUGAGGCAGCGACGCCGCGUGAGGGAUGAAGGCGGUCGGGUCGUAAACCGCUUUUAUAAGGGACGAAGUUUGACGGUACCUUAUGAAUAAGAGCCGGCUAACUCCGUG